CCUACGGGAGACAGCAGUGAGGAAUAUUGGUCAAUGGACGAGAGUCUGAACCAGCCAAGUAGCGUGAAGGAUGACUGCCCUAUGGGUUGUAAACUUCUUUUAUAUGGGAAUAAAAUGUUCCACGUGUGGGAUUUUGUAUGUACCAUUUGAAUAAGGAUCGGCUAACUCCGUGCCAGCAGCCGCGGUAAUACGGAGGAUCCGAGCGUUAUCCGGAUUUAUUGGGGUUAAAGGGAGCGUAGGUGGAUUGUUAAGUCAGUUGUGAAAGUUUGCGGCUCAACCGUAAAAUUGCAGUUGAAACUGGCAGUCUUGAGUACAGUAGAGGUGGGCGGAAUUCGUGGUGUAGCGGUGAAAUGCUUAGAUAUCACGAAGAACUCCGAUUGCGAAGGCAGUUCACUGGACUGCAACUGACACUGAGGCUCGAAAGUGUGGGUAUCAAACAGGAUUAGAUACCCUUGUAGUC
rnacentral:rRNA from 1 species